UCUUGUAAAAUGAAACUGAAAAUCCUCUCCUCUCUCCCUCCAAUGCUCUUGUCCACCUCCUCUCUACGUUGCUGCUGGACCAUCAGUGUUGGUUACCCGUGGCAACUCGACAGUGUGCAGCUGCCCUCCAGCUCCUCUCCAUCUUCCUCUACUUCUAUCACAUCUGUCUUUACUGGCCCUUCUGUCCACUCUAUUAUUGGUUCUCUUCACCUCUCUCCUAUAAAAUCUACCACUCAUCCCUAAUAUUAUUGGUUCUCUUCACCUCUCUCCUAUAACAUCUACCACUCAUCCCUAAUAUUAUUGGUUCUCUUCACCUCUCUCCUAUAACAUCUACCACUCAUCCCUAAUAUUAUUGGUUCUCUUCACCUCUCUCCUAUAACAUCUACCACUCAUCCCUAAUAUUAUUGGUUCUCUUCACCUCUCUCCUAUAAAAUCUACCACUCAUCCCUAAUAUUAUUGGUUCUCUUCACCUCUCUCCUAUAACAUCUACCACUCAUCCCUAAUAUUAUUGGUUCUCUUCACCUCUCUCCUAUAAAAUCUACCACUCAUCCCUAAUAUUAUUGGUUCUCUUCACCUCUCUCCUAUAACAUCUACCACUCAUCCCUAAUAUUAUUGGUUCUCUUCACCUCUCUCCUAUCAUUUUAUACUGCUCUAUCUACAUUUGGUUCUGGUUCAAAGAUUAUCAGUCAUUUGUUCUGGUUGCAAAGCUACAUAUCUAUUUUUGGUUGUACUGGUUGUUUGGUUGUUUGGUCCUUGGUCAUUCUGUUUUAUGGUUCUGUGAGUUUCUCUGCUCGCACUUUUUCUACCUCUCCUGUCUCUCUCACAUUUGAUUUGAUCUUUUCAAUUGGCAAAAAUUCAAUUAUUGUAUUUUUGAAUUAUCCAUAUUGUUUCAAUUUAUUCUAUUUGGUAACAGUCAUUAUUAAACAAAUUAUAAAUAAAAGUAUUUUUGAAUUUGUUCAUUAAAUUUCAAUUAAUUGAAAAGACUGGAAACACAUACAUAACAAACAUUUUGUUUAGCUUUUAUCACAAACAUUGGACUGUAAAAACUAAUUCAAAGUUAAAUCUGGUACAUUUCCAAAUA